AGGGGCCAGCCCAUGGGUGGGUCACCUCUGAGCUCAGGCUAGCGUUGAGGACAUUUUUAUCAGUAGACCCAGCACUGGCUGGUCCACCAACACAGGCAGGGUUGAAAUUUAGCAUGAGGUGAGGACUGCAACAUUUGGGUUUGUUCACCAAGUCCAGAGCAAGGCACCAGAAAUUCUUGGCUUCCUCCAAACAGCUGCACAGAAGCAGCGGCCAAACCCGUCUUGUGUUUGAUGAGUCAUCCUGCGUCAGCCCUGUACCGCGCAGGCUCCUAUGGGUGCUUCCUCAGCGGCUGCCUCUGGCUUGGGCUCUUUCCAGGAGAGGAGGUAGCCAAAUACUCAGGCCCCAGUACUAAUGGGCGCUUUGCGAUUCCAGGAAAGGGGUGUGAGACACCACAUGAACUCACUGCACUGGCUUGAUCAGAGUUCUAUCCUGUUCCUGAAGAGCUCUUCAUCCUUCUUCCAGUCAGUGUCACCCUUAUGGUCAUGUAGUUCUGGAUAUGGCCUUGAUGCUGGGCCUGGGUGAUAAUAGAAGACACCUUCUACUCACAGCUCCCAAAGGAUUUCCUGCAUUAUCUCUCAGGGACCUUUGCCUGGGAAAGGAGGUAUCAGGUUCAGCUCUUUGGGAAGCAUGUGAGGACUGUAAGGGCUUUUGUGCCAUCAGGUCCUGGGAUUGGAUUCCUGUUUUGCCACUGACAUCCAGGAAAUCAGAGAAAUUUAUGUUUCCACUCUGAGCUUCAAUACCUGCAUCUCUUAAAGAAGAUAACUAAUGCCUACCUCAUGGCCAUGAUGGCGAAGAUUUGGAUAUGAUAAGGGCUGUGAUGCACUUGGGCACAGUAGGCGCUGAAAAAAAAUGCAUAGGGAUUCCCGGAUUCCCCUUGUGCGAUCAGUGCCUCUCUUCCUCUCUGACAGCUCCUGAAACCUCACCUCUCUUGUAAGUAGGUUCUUGAAAGUUGGAGCCAGAUGACUGAUACAGGUUCUGUGUGAAGAUUAAGGAAUUUGAAAAUAAAAUAUCGGUUAUCUA